AUUGAACGCUGGCGGCAGGCUUAACACAUGCAAGUCGAGCGGGGGGAGGUAGCUUGCUACCUAACCUAGCGGCGGACGGGUGAGUAAUGCUUAGGAAUCUGCCUAUUAGUGGGGGACAACAUUUCGAAAGGGAUGCUAAUACCGCAUACGCCCUAAGGGGGAAAGCAGGGGAUCUUCGGACCUUGCGCUAAUAGAUGAGCCUAAGUCGGAUUAGCUAGUUGGUGGGGUAAAGGCCUACCAAGGCGACGAUCUGUAGCGGGUCUGAGAGGAUGGUCCGCCGCACUGGGACUGAGACACGGCCCAGACUCCUACGGGAGGCAGCAGUGGGGAAUAUUGGACAAUGGGGGGAACCCUGAUCCAGCCAUGCCGCGUGUGUGAAGAAGGCCUUUUGGUUGUAAAGCACUUUAAGCGAGGAGGAGGCUACCGAGAUUAAUACUCUUGGAUAGUGGACGUUACUCGCAGAAUAAGCACCGGCUAACUCUGUGCCAGCCGCCGCGGUAAAAC
rnacentral:rRNA from 1 species